UACGUAGGGCGCAAGCGUUUAUCCGGAAUUAUUGGGCGUAAAAGAGCUCGUAGGCGGUUUGUCGCGUCUGCCGUGAAAGUCCGGGGCUCAACUCCGGAUCUGCGGCGGGUACGGGCAGACUAGAGUGAUGUAGGGGAGACUGGAAUUCCCGGUGUAGCGGUGAAAUGCGCAGAUAUCGGGAGGAACACCGGUGGCGAAGGCAGGUCUCUGGGCAUUAACUGACGCUGAGGAGCGAAAGCAUGGGGGAGCGAACAGG
rnacentral:rRNA from 1 species